CACCUGACACUCGAUUGUUGUCGACCCAGGUCGAUCAACAAUCAGGUGAACCAGGUACUUUUUACCUGAAUACAUAGGGUUAAAAGAGCAAACGCGGGGGAACUGAAACAUCUCAGUACCCGCAGGAAAGGAAAUCAACCGAUACUCCGUCAGUAGCGGCGAGCGAACGCGGACCAGCCGAGCCCUGAGAGGUAGCAGAACCAGUUGGGAAACUGGGCGACAUGGGUGAUAGCCCCGUAUGCGAAAACUCGAUGGGCCACAUUAAGUAGGGCGGGACACGUGAAAUCCUGUCUGAAGAUCGGGGGGACCACCCUCGAAGGCUAAGUACUCCUUGCUGACCGAUAGCGCACUAGUACCGUGAGGGAAAGGUGAAAAGCACCCCGACAAGGGG
rnacentral:rRNA from 1 species